UCUUGCAAGCUAAGCAGGGUUUGGUCAGGUUGGUACCAGGAAGGGAGACCGCUGGGGCAUAUCCCACUGUUGCAGGAA
rnacentral:rRNA from 1 species